AUCGAACGCUGGCGGCAGGCCUAACACAUGCAAGUCGAACGGAGCGGCGGACGGGUGAGGAAUGCCGAGGAAUCAGCCUGGUAGUGGGGGAUAACGACGGGAAACGGGCGCUAAUAUAGCAGACUAUCAGAUGAGCUUAGGUCGGAUGAGCUAGUGGGUGGGUUAAAGGCCUACAAAGGCGACGAUCCGUACCUGGUCUGAGAGGAUGAUCAGUCACACUGGAACUGAGACACGGUCCAGACUCCUACGGGAGGCAGCAGUGGGUAAUAUUGGACAAUGGGCGAAAGCCUGAUCCAGCCAUGCCGCGUGUGUGAAGAAGGUUUUCGGAUUGUAAAGCACUUUAAGUUGGGAGGCGGUACCAACAGAAUAAGCACCGGCUAACUUCGUGCCAGCAGCCGCGGUAAUAC
rnacentral:rRNA from 1 species